GAACACCCCCCUGAGCUGACAUGGACUCUCCCAACACAGUUCACACCUGAGAACCAAUUGCAGGAGAAUUCAGACCAAACCAAAUCAGUUCUCUCCACGGUGACCUUCACUCCGUCAUAUCUUCAUCAUGAGAAGAACAUCACUUGUACCUCAGUCUACCCAGCAGGGACAAGCAACAAGACAGCUGAACAUAACAUGAUGCUUAACGUUUCAUUCUCUCCUAAGGACACCUCAGCCUCCAUCAGUCCAGCUGAUCCAGUAUUAGUGGGCAGCUGUGUUAAUCUGACCUGCAGCAGUACAGCCAACCCUCCUGUGACAAACUUCACCUGGUUCCAGAUCAGUGG